rnacentral:rRNA from 1 species
GUAAGUGCCUAGCAGGCGUAUAGACUUUUCUGCCACCGAAUACAUUAGCAUGGGAUAAUGGAAUAGGACCCUGUCCUCCUUUUUUCAGUUGGUUAAUUCAUGAGAGAGGAACAGGGUAAUGAUUAAUAGGGAUAGUUGGGGGCAUUAAUAUUUAAUUGUCAGAGGUGAAAUUCUUGGAUUUAUGAAAGAUUAACUUCUGCGAAAGCAUCUGCCAAGGAUGUUUUCAUUAAUCAAGAACGAAAGUUAGGGGAUCGAAGACGAUCAGAUACCGUCGUAGUCUUAACCAUAUACGAUGCCGACCAGCGAUUAGGAGACGUUGAAUACACAACACCUCUAUAUAUAAUUCAGUAUAUGGCUAGCAAUGGCUGUAUAUUGUUUGUGUAUAGAUACGGUGAAUGAUUCCCCUGGAAACUUUUUGGGACAA